UUGCUUUGGCAGCAAAUAACUAAAAUUGGAAUGAUACAGAGAAGAUCAGCAGGGCCCCUGAGAAAGGAUGACAUGCAAAUUCACACAGCAUUCCAUCACAGC
rnacentral:snRNA from 1 species